UACGUAGGGGGCGAGCGUUGUCCGAAGUUACUGGGCGUAAAGCGCGCGUAGGCGGCUUCUUAAGUCCGGGGUGAAAGGUCCAGCGCUCAACGCGGACAGUGCCUCGGAUACUGGGGGGCUUGAAUGUGGCAGAGGAUAGUGGAAUGGCUGGUGUAGCGGUGAAAUGCGUAGAUAUUGGGAAGAACACCGGUGGCGAAGGCGGCUUCCUGGACCAGUACCGACGUUCAGGCACGAAAGCGUGGGGAGCAAACAGG
rnacentral:rRNA from 1 species